rnacentral:rRNA from 1 species
GACGAACGCUGGCGGCGUGCUUAACACAUGCAAGUCGAACGAAGAGCGAUGGAAGCUUGCUUCUAUCACUCUUAGUGGCGAACGGGUGAGUCACGCGUAAUCAACCUGCCCUUCAGAGGGGGACAACAGUUGGAAACGACUGCUAAUACCGCAUACGAUCCAAUCUCGGCAUCGGGACUGGAUGAAAGGUGGCCUCUAUUUAUAAGCUAUCACUGAAGGAGGGGAUUGCGUCUGAUUAGCUAGUUGGAGGGGUAACGGCCCACCAAGGCGAUGAUCAGUAGCCGGUCUGAGAGGAUGAACGGCCACAUUGGGACUGAGACACGGCCCAGACUCCUACGGGAGGCAGCAGUGGGGAAUCUUCCGCAAUGGACGAAAGUCUGACGGAGCAACGCCGCGUGAGUGAUGACGGCCUUCGGGUUGUAAAGCUCUGUUAAUCGGGACGAAUGGUUCUUGUGCGAAUAGUGCGAGGAUUUGACGGUACCGGAAUAGAAAGCCACGGCUAACUACGUG